rnacentral:rRNA from 1 species
ACCUGCAGUCGACGAGAAAGUGGAGCAAUCCAUGAGUACAGUGGCGCACGGGUGAGUAACACGUGACUAACCUACCCUGGAGUGGGGGAUAACUGAGGGAAACCUUAGCUAAUGCCGCAUAACACCUACGGGUCAAAGGAGCAAUUCGCUUCAGGAGGGGGUCGCGGCCGAUUAGUUAGUUGGCGGGGUAAUGGCCCACCAAGACAGUGAUCGGUAUCCGGCCUGAGAGGGCGCACGGACACACUGGAACUGAAACACGGUCCAGACUCCUACGGGAGGCAGCAGUGGGGAAUUUUGCGCAAUGGGGGAAACCCUGACGCAGCAACGCCGCGUGGAGGAUGAAGUCCUUCGGGACGUAAACUCCUUUCGAUCGGGACGAUUAUGACGGUACCGGAAGAAGAAGCCCCGGCUAACUUCGUGCCAGCAGCCGCGGUAAUACGAGGGGGGCGAGCGUUGUUCGGAAUUAUUGGGCGUAAAGGGUGCGUAGGCGGUUUUGUAAGUCUUAUGUGAAAUCUAUGGGCUCAACUCAUAGACUGCAUGAGAAACUGCAGGGCUUGAGUAUGGGAGAGGUGAGUGGAAUUCCUGGUGUAGCGGUGAAAUGCGUAGAUAUCAGGAGGAACACCUGUGGCGAAAGCGGCUCACUGGACCAUAACUGACGCUGAUGCACGAAAGCUAGGGGAGCAAACAGGAUUAGAUACCCUGGUAGUCCUAGCCCUAAACGAUGACUGCUUGGUGUGACGGGUACCCAAUCCCGCCGUGCCGUAGCUAACGCGUUAAGCAGUCCGCCUGGGGAGUACGGUCGCAAGGCUGAAACUCAAAGGAAUUGACGGGGGCCCGCACAAGCGGUGGA